rnacentral:lncRNA from 1 species
GUUCUCUCGGGCUUCCGGUCCUUCCUCUUGUUUUUGGUCCCCCCUCCCUUUUCCCCCCAGGUUUCCUUUUAUAGGAGGAUUUUUGUUACCUGGGAGGUGACAGGAGGUUUGUCCUGUUUUGUAAUAAUUGGGCACGAUUUGGCCCAUUAAUGGCGUAAUGGAGAACGGGACCGGAUCAGACCGGAAUCAGGGAGUUGUCACGGUCGAUCGGAC